CCGGAGGCCAUUGCUAUCGGAGUCCGAUUUAGCCAUGCUAGUCGCGCGGGUUUAGACCCGCGGCAGAUAGCUCAGUAACACGUGGCCAAACUACCCUAUGGACGGAGAUAACCUCGGGAAACUGAGGCUAAUAUCCGAUACAGCUCGCACGCUGGAGUGCAGCGAGCUGGAAACGUUCCGGCGCCAUAGGAUGUGGCUGCGGCCGAUUAGGUAGACGGUGGGGUAAUGGCCCACCGUGCCGAUAAUCGGUACAGGUUGUGAGAGCAAGAGCCUGGAGACGGAAUCUGAGACAAGAUUCCGGGCCCUACGGGGCGCAGCAGGCGCGAAACCUUUACACUGCACGACAGUGCGAUAGGGGGACUCCGAGUGCGAGGGCAUACAGUCCUCGCUUUUCUGCACCGUAAGGUGGUACAGGAACAAGUGCUGGGCAAGACCGGUGCCAGCCGCCGCGGUAAUACCGGCAGCACGAGUGAUGGCCGAUAUUAUUGGGCCUAAAGCGUCCGUAGCCGGCCGAGCAAGUCUGUUGGGAAAUCCACGCGCUCAACGCGUGGGCGUCCAGCGGAAACUGUUCGGCUUGGGGCCAGAGGACUCGAGGGGUACGUCCGGGGUAGGAGUGAAAUCCCGUAAUCCUGGACGGACCACCGGUGGCGAAAGCGCCUCGGGAGGACGGAUCCGACGGUGAGGGACGAAAGCUUGGGUCUCGAACCGGAUUAGAUACCCGGGUAGUCCAAGCUGUAAACGAUGCUCGCUAGGUGUGCCGCAGGCUACGAGCCUGCGCUGUGCCGUAGGGAAGCCGAGAAGCGAGCCGCCUGGGAAGUACGUCUGCAAGGAUGAAACUUAAAGGAAUUGGCGGGGGAGCACUAC
rnacentral:rRNA from 1 species